GAUGAACGCUGGCGGCGUGCCUAAUACAUGCAAGUCGAGCGAACGGACGAGAAGCUUGCUUCUCUGAUGUUAGCGGCGGACGGGUGAGUAACACGUGGAUAACCUACCUAUAAGACUGGGAUAACUUCGGGAAACCGGAGCUAAUACCGGAUAAUAUUUUGAACCGCAUGGUUCAAAAGUGAAAGACGGUCUUGCUGUCACUUAUAGAUGGAUCCGAGCUGCAUUAGCUAGUUGGUAAGGUAACGGCUUACCAAGGCAACGAUGCAUAGCCGACCUGAGAGGGUGAUCGGCCACACUGGAACUGAGACACGGUCCAGACUCCUACGGGAGGCAGCAGUAGGGAAUCUUCCGCAAUGGUCGAAAGCCUGACGGAGCAACGCCGCGUGAGUGAUGAAGGUCUUCGGAUCGUAAAACUCUGUUAUUAGGGAAGAACAGAUGUGUAAGUAACUGUGCACAUCUUGACGGUACCUAAUCAGAAAGCCACGGCUAACUACGUG
rnacentral:rRNA from 1 species